CAAUCAGCAACUUUUAAUUUAAUCAACCAAAAACUGAAAAUACCCCUACUCUUAACACUUUGUUGGUCAACAAGUAAGAGAAUUUAGGGUUAAGAGAAGUAAGUGAGAGAAUUCACAAAUCACUUAAAGAAUUCACACCCUCAGAAACUCAAUCAGACAGGAAUCCUUUUGAUAAGAAUUUUCACCAUCAUAGGAUGAGAGGUGUGCAUUCCAUAAGUGUGAGGCAAUUUGGAAGCUGUGAUUGGCCCCUGUGAAGAGGGGAAGGGACAAAAGGGCUAUAAAAGUCCUGAUCUUCAGCUAGGGAAUCGACUUCAGCUUGAGUCUUCAAGUCAUCUUCAGUCUGAAUCCUCAGCUUGGAGCUUUGGCUGGUGACCUGUCUCUUGGAGAUGACUCUGGAUUUGGACCCAGGUUUAGACUUUGCUCUUGGACUUUGGCUCUUGGACUAUUUUUUGGUGUUCCUAUUACAGUUUACAUACAAGGCACAGCAUAACUAGAAUUGACUUAUUGAAUGAAAAAAGGUGCCCUUAUUUCUCCCCAUUCUCAAAAAGAUUCAAGCAGGAGGUGCCUGGGGUGAGGAGUGUGCCAAAAUGAUACUCCACGCCUGGGAUGAGGUGAAUGUUACCUCAUCUAAGCUAAGAUCAGGAGCUGGGAUCUUCCAUUGAAAAAGGUGAGUCUUACAGCUAGCUAUCUGGUUCUAUCAUGAAGCUAAUAGAGAUGAGAAUAUGUUGGCUAGCCUUAUGUAAUAAUUAAGCAGGAGGGGGCAGCUGGGUAGCUCAGUGGAUUGAGAGCCAGGCCUAGAGAUGGGAGGUUCUAGGUUCAAAUCUGGCCUCAGACACUUCCCAGUUGUGUGACCCUGGGCAAGUCACUUGACCCCCAUUGCCUAGCCCUUACUGCUCUUCUGCCUUGGAGCCAAUACAAAGUAUUGACUCCAAGACCGAAGGUAAGGAUUUAAAAAAAAUAAUAAUAAUUAAGCAGGAGUGUCAGGGGUGUCGAGGAACUUUGGAAGAAAGUGUCUAAGAAGCCAAAUAAAAACCGAAAUUCAAUAAAUGAUAGCUUCA
rnacentral:lncRNA from 1 species